AGAGCCCGGGUUGGGUGCGAGCAGUGAUGGCAAAAGGCUUUAAGACUCCUUUAGGCAUUCUGACAAUAGCAGGGCUCUAUUGUUUGACCUGUGUGGCUGUGCUGUUGCAGACUCUCUAUGCCCAAAACUGGCUACAGAUUCUGGUGCUGGCAGCAGGAUGUUUGCUGGGCGUUGCAGUUGAGGUGAGGAGUAUGUUUACCCAGCAUUAUUACUGUCAUAAUAAAGGCAUUUAUCAUGUCAUUUUGCAGAUGUGGUGCAUCAUAACCCAUUUGAGAUUCUUAGUUGAUCAGGAUGAGAAAGAAAAGAAGAUCUAGGGAUCUCUAAAGGGUCAUUUAGGAUGUUGUAAGGGUUUAAGCGUGAAAUUUGUAUUUUAU
ensembl:lncRNA